rnacentral:rRNA from 1 species
CAGUAGCCGCGGGAAUACGAAGGGGGCUAGCGUUGCUCGGAAUUACUGGGCGUAAAGGGCGCGUAGGCGGACAGUUCAGUCGGGGGUGAAAGCCCGGGGCUCAACCUCGGAAUUGCCUUCGAUACUGGCUGUCUUGAGUAUGAGAGAGGUGUGUGGAACUCCGAGUGUAGAGGUGAAAUUCGUAGAUAUUCGGAAGAACACCAGUGGCGAAGGCGACACACUGGCUCAUUACUGACGCUGAGGCGCGAAAGCGUGGGGAGCAAACAGGAUUAGAGACCCCCGUAGUCCCUGUCUCUUAUAC